UACAUGGGGUGCAAACGUUGCUCGGAAUUAUUGGGCGUAAAGCGCGCGUAGGCGGUUACUCAAGUCGGAUGUGAAAGCCCUCGGCUUAACUGAGGAAGUGCACCCGAAACUGAGUAGCUAGAGUACUAAAGAGGGUCGCGGAAUUCCCGGUGUAGAGGUGAAAUUCGUAGAUAUCGGGAGGAAUACCAGUGGCGAAGGCGGCUGCCUGGCCUGUUCUUGACGCUGAGGCGGCGAAAGCUGGGGGAGCAAACGGG
rnacentral:rRNA from 1 species